UUACUCCUACGGGAGGCAGCAGUGGGGAAUUUUGGACAAUGGGGGCAACCCUGAUCCAGCCAUUCCGCGUGAGUGAAGAAGGCCUUCGGGUUGUAAAGCUCUUUUGUCCGGAGCGAAACGGGCGCGGUGAAUAUCCGCGUCUACUGACGGUACCGGAAGAAUAAGCACCGGCUAACUACGUGCCAGCAGCCGCGGUAAUACGGGGGGUGCAAGCGUUGUUCGGAAUUAUUGGGCGUAAAGAGCGUGUAGGCGGUUUGUUAAGUCUGAUGUGAAAGCCCUGGGCUCAACCCAGGAAGUGCAUUGGAAACUGUCAGACUUGAAUACGGGAGAGGGCAGUGGAAUUCCUAGUGUAGGAGUGAAAUCCGUAGAUAUUAGGAGGAACACCGGUGGCGAAGGCGGCUGCCUGGACCGAUAUUGACGCUGAGACGCGAAAGCGUGGGUAGCAAACAGGAUUAGAUACCCUGGUAGUCCACGCCGUAAACGAUGAGAACUAGGUGUUGCGGGUAUUGACCCCUGCAGUGCCGCAGCUAACGCAUUAAGUUCUCCGCCUGGGAAGUACGGUCGCAAGACUAAAACUCAAAUGAAUUGACGG
rnacentral:rRNA from 1 species